UACAGAGGGGGCAAGCGUUGUUCGGAAUUACUGGGCGUAAAGGGCGCGUAGGCGGCCGGUUAAGUCGAACGUGAAAUCCCUGGGCUCAACCCAGGAACUGCGUCCGAUACUGGCAGGCUUGAAUUCGGGAGAGGGAUGCGGAAUUCCAGGUGUAGCGGUGAAAUGCGCAGAGAUCGGGAGGAACACCCGUAGCGAAGGCGGCGCUCUGGGCCGGUACUGACGCUGAGGAGCGAAAGCGUGGGGAGCAAACAGG
rnacentral:rRNA from 1 species